ACCGUUUUCAGUCCGUUUGUGGGAACCCUCACGCACUACGCCGCCGCGUCGUCGGCUUCUCCGCUCUUCACCUGCUCCCUCUCGACGAACUACGAAGCCAUCCCCGCCUCCGCAAACCGCCCCGAGCCUCCGACGUAUUCCCUGGCCAGUAGGCCACUUCCCUUCUGGCCUUCCUACUCUCUCCACGCUCCACAGCUGUGAGCCUGUGACCCUCCGCUUCGACGCGGACGCCGCAGGCCGUUGACGAUACAACGCACCCCGCCGAAAGGGGCUGGGACUCCUUUUCCGUUUCCUUCGCACAUCUCCUCGCUUUCCGCCGAGAGAACUUUUUUCAGUCAAUCAUAAUAAUAAUAAUAAAAAAUUCGCCGUUCGGCCCCGAAUUUCCCCUCUGUUUCUGCUUCAUCUGACGCAUCUGAUCCAUUCCCCCUUCUCGACGCGGAUCGAAUCACGAGCGUGUGGCGGCGGCUGUGGUGGUUAGGGACUUAGGGUUGGAGCUCCUGGAGGAUGGCGAGCCACGGCGCCGGGGUGGCUGCUGGAUCUGACGCCCCGCACGCUGAGGUUGUCAGUAUGGGUCAAACAAAUCUAUCUCCAUAUCCUCUUUCUUCCAGUCAUCAUUCAUGGUCCUCUGCAACUGGGUCAGCAACGGUUUCAUGGAACAAUACAGUGGACAAACUUAGCCAAGAUACAGUUUACUAUGAUCCACAAAGGGAUGUAUCAGAUUCAGGAGGGAAUCAAAAUGUAGAAAGUAGCGUGCCUCAUGUUGCCCAGUCGAGUAGGGGGAUGGCAGAUGUAGCCCAUUCUCACAUGUCUUACUCUAGUUCAGAUCAACAUGUCUAUAACCCUGUAGAAUAUGCCAACUAUUAUUAUAGCUACCCACAAGCAACAAAUGAUUCUUCUGUCCAGCAAGGAGCAAACCAACAUCCAGGUGCAGCUUAUCAGCCUCUUACUUCAUUUCAAAAUUCAGGGUCUUACAUUGAUCCUACAAGUAACACAUAUUACAAUGCUGGGGGUCAUCAGACCGUGCCAGGAUAUGGAAGCAGCAGCUACUAUUAUCAGAACAACACAUGGAAUGGUGGAAGCACAGGGAAUACUUUUGCUCAAUCAUACCAGAACUACUCAUCAUCUGAUACAAAUGCACAACAAAGUUCUACUUCAGUGCCUGCCAAUUCUUUACCAUAUCAGCAGCAGUAUAACCAGUGGCCAUACUAUUACAAUCAAUCUGUGCCAAGUGCUUCUAGCAAUCCAGUUGCUGGGAACAGUACUACAGAUAACUUAACUGGUAACAUGCCUUCUGGCUAUUCAUAUCCUAGUAGCCAGCCACCUCCACCAGGAACAACAUCAUGGAAAAGUAAUUCAGUUGCUUCUGUUGCACCUCCUAUGCAGGUUCCAGGUGUUCCAGGACAGCAAAGUCAAUAUGGCAACCAGGCAGAAGGCCAUUAUAACCAGGGACCUGGUGUGCAAUGGUCUCAAAAUCAUUAUGCCUACCAGACACAGCCAUACCCUCAGAAGACUAAUUCCAAUCAUCCACAACUAAGCAACCAUGAAGAUCAACAGGAGACUGUAUAUUCUAACAGUCCAAGCACAAAUCUUUCGUCGAACCAUGUUUCUGAAAAUUUUAAACCAAACUUGCAGGAUUCUGUGACAAUGGACACUUCCAGCGAAGGCAAAAUACAGGUUCCUAUAAAUCCUCAAAUUGCCCCAGGUUUCUCUAUGGUGAUACCAAAGAAUGAGAAGAAACAUUCUGGACUUGAUUUAUCAAAGAAACCUGCCUAUGUUAGUGUCUCCAUGCCUACGAAUGAUGCUAAAGCAACUCAAGUUGGUCUUGAUGCUAGAUUACCCUUUUCACUCCGUAACUAUGCUACGAGGAACCUCAAUCGUUGCAAGAAUGAUGCCCAGAGGGAGGCCUGCCGAAGCAUAAUGAAUGAGAUCACAAAAAAAGCUUUUGCUGAGGGAACCCUUCUUACUAAGAACUGGGACACUGAACCACUAUUUCCUUUGCCUGAAAGUACUGUGGGCAUGACUGGAACAAGCAGUGUAAACAAUUUAAGUCCCUUCUCAUCAGUUUCCACCCCAAGGAAACGUGUGAAAAGUAGAUGGGAGCCUGUUGUGGAUGAAAAUGUUACCAAUAAGGUGGAACAAAUAGCAAAAGGAUUGAUCGGCAGUAAUGUCCACAGUACUUCGGACCCUAAAAAUAGAAUGGGUAGCAGUUGGGAUCAUAGGAAGUUUCUCCAGUCUUCUCAAGCACCUUCAAAUAAAGUCAAUCAGAGGUCUGCCAAGAAGCAAAAAAUGGGUAGUAAUUUGAGUCAAAUACAGAAUGGAAAUGCUUCAAGUGACAGUGAGAAGGAACAUGAUCUAACCAAAUAUUAUGCCAGUGCAACUGCACUAGCAAAUUCGCCUGAGGAAAAGAAACGUAGGGAGCAUAGAUCCAAGCGUUUUGAAAAGAGUAAAGAUUCAUCAUUUAAAUCAAGAAAUGUUUCUGCAAAUAAAGAUGCUAUGACUAAUUUGCGUGCAAGAAGGGCAAUUUUGUCUUUUCGUACUAGAACCUAUGAAGGCGGCACUUUGGCUGUUGAGGAUAUGGAUUGGGAUGCACUGACAGUCAAAGGAACAUGUCAGGAAAUUGAGAAAAGAUAUCUACGACUUACAGAAGCACCUGAUCCUGCCAAAAUAAGGCCAGAAGAUGUCCUGGAGAAGGCCCUUGCAAUGGUUGAAACAUCACAAAAGAAUUAUCUUUACAAGUGUGAUCAACUAAAAUCUAUCCGCCAAGAUCUUACAGUUCAGAGAAUCCAGAAUGAACUGACUAUAAAGGUUUAUGAAACACAUGCCCGAUUAGCUAUGCAAGCUGGUGAUUUACAUGAAUUUAACCAGUUGCAAAAUACAACCCAGAAGGCUAGAAAUCUACACUGGUGCUACAUGAUUGUCAUAGUUUUAACUAUUUCUGCGUCAAUAACUAUUGCAGUGCCAGUCACAACUGAAGAGGCUAUAUGCACAAGGAAUCAAGGGUUGCUAUUUUGAAUUUUCUGCUUACAAUUUGCUGUGUGUCAUGCUACACUCUAAUAAUAAACGAGACUUGCUGUCAUCAAUGGCAAGCUUAUCAAAAGAAGCCAAACAAGAUGCAGCUGUUAAGCAUGCCCUUGCAGUUCAUGCUUCUGUUUUAUCUGGCAAUUAUGUUCUAUUUUUCAAACUGUACAAGAAGGCGCCCAAUUUGAACUCAUGCCUCAUGGAUCUAUAUGUGGAGCGGAUGCGCUUCGAAGCUAUGAAAUGCAUGUCUAGGUCAUAUCGCCCAACUGUACCUGUGGGAUAUGUUGCACAGAUUUUGGGGUUCAUGAGAACUGAUACAGGCUGUGCAACCAAUGGGGAUGAUGGAUUAGAAGAAUGCGAAAAAUGGUUGAAAGCGCAUGGGAUAGUUCUUUCAGAAGGUAACAGUGGGGAAUUACAAAUAGACAUGAAGGCUUCGUCUUCUACACUUUACAUGCCAGAGCCAGAGAAUGCGGUUGCACAUGGUGAUGCAUCACUUGCUGUUGAUGACUUUUUGGCACGGACUGACGGGCAUCUUAAAAGGUGCAGCAGCGAUGAGCCAACGGUGGAUACUCCGUAGUGUAGUAUAUUGGUGCUGCUGUGGCAGUCGUGCCGAGAUGUGGACGCACUGCACUUCUCCCGUAGAAACUGCAAAGGGGGCAUGAAAUGGAGCUGCCCAACGAAGCUCGCGGAGCUAAGAGAGUCGGAACAACUGAACAAGGAUGUGGUCAUCGGGUUUUGCCACUUGCGCAAAUUGAUCCAGUCAUCCAGAGUUGCACCGCGAUGAGCUUCGUUGAGAAGACAGAGAAGAAAGCAGCAUUACCCGACAUGAGCAGAAGUUUUUAUGUCGUGGUGGUUUGCUCACAAGGGCCUGUUCCGAUAGGAGUAGAUUGAAGGUAUUAGAAGAUAUUAAAUUUCUUAGUCUUGUUUGGAAGUAAGGGGAUUGGAGGAACUGAAGAUUUGAAGGGGCCAAAAUCCUAGAAGGGGAUUUUAGCCUUGGCUGAUUUGAUGACCCCUCCAAUCUCUCUCAAUCUCCUUAUCAUCAAAUCAGCCCUGCCUCGAUUCUCUUCUCCCAAACAAGCCAGCCCUUACUAGUAAAAAUUGAAUAGAAAAAAAGAUUUAAUCCUCCUCAAUCUCCUUCAACCAAACAAGGUCUAACUUGCAUUAAGCGUAGAAAGUAUUGUGAAAAACAGCUACAGCUUUGAAGCAUACAUCAUACAUUAUCUUUUCCGGUGCUCUUUUUUUC